rnacentral:rRNA from 1 species
UUUUAUGGAGAGUUUGAUCCUGGCUCAGGAUGAACGCUGGCGGCGUGCUUAACACAUGCAAGUCGAACGAUGAAGCCCAGCU